rnacentral:rRNA from 1 species
ACGAACGCUGGCGGCGCGCCUAACACAUGCAAGUCGAACGGAGUCAAGAGGAGCUUGCUUUUCUUGACUUAGUGGCGAACGGGUGAGUAACGCGUGAGUAACCUGCCCUGGAGUGGGGGACAACAGUUGGAAACGACUGCUAAUACCGCAUAAGCCCACGGAUCCGCAUGGAUCUGCGGGAAAAGGAUUUAUUCGCUUCAGGAUGGACUCGCGUCCAAUUAGCUAGUUGGUGAGGUAACGGCCCACCAAGGCGACGAUUGGUAGCCGGACUGAGAGGUUGAACGGCCACAUUGGGACUGAGACACGGCCCAGACUCCUACGGGAGGCAGCAGUGGGGGAUAUUGCACAAUGGGGGAAACCCUGAUGCAGCGACGCCGCGUGGAGGAAGAAGGUUUUCGGAUUGAAAACUCCUGUCGUUAGGGACGAUAAUGACGGUACCUAACAAGAAAGCACCGGCUAACUACGUG